ACUCCUACGGGAGGCAGCAGUAGGGAAUCUUCCACAAUGGACGAAAGUCUGAUGGAGCAACGCCGCGUGAGUGAAGAAGGGUUUCGGCUCGUAAAAACUCUGUUGUUAAAGAAGAACAUAUCUGAGAGUAACUGUUCAGGUAUUGACGGUAUUUAACCAGAAAGUCACGGCUAACUACGUGCCAGCAGCCGCGGUAAUACGUAGGUGGCAAGCGUUGUCCGGAUUUAUUGGGGCGUAAAGCGAGCGCAGGCGGUUUUUAAGUCUGAUGUGAAAGCCUUCGGCUCAACCGAAGAAGUGCAUCGGAAACUGGGAAACUUGAGUGCAGAAGGGGACAGUGGAACUCCAUGUGUAGCGGUGAAAUGCGUAGAUAUAUGGAAGAACACCAGUGGCGAAGGCGGCUGUCUGGCCUGUAACUGACGCUGAGGCUCGAAAGUAUGGGUAGCAAACA
rnacentral:rRNA from 1 species